GGUUAAGACUCAGUUGGUUAGAGUGUGGCGCUAAUAACACCCAGGAUGCAGGUUUAAUCCCCGUACGGGACA